rnacentral:rRNA from 1 species
UACAGAGGUCUCAAGCGUUGUUCGGAUUCAUUGGGCGUAAAGGGUGCGUAGGCGGCGCGGUAAGUCGGGUGUGAAAUCUCGGAGCUUAACUCCGAAACUGCAUUCGAUACUGCCGUGCUUGAGGACUGGAGAGGAGACUGGAAUUUACGGUGUAGCGGUGAAAUGCAUAGAUAUCGUAAGGAAGACCAGUGGCGAAGGCGGGUCUCUGGACAGUUCCUGACGCUGAGGCACGAAGGUCAGGGGAGCAAACGGG